rnacentral:rRNA from 1 species
CUGGGUUGUAAACUGCUUUUGAUAGGGGCCAAAAUACUCAUGCGUGAGGAAUUGAGAGUACCUAUAGAAUAAGCACCGGCUAACUCCGUGC